ACUCAAAGGAAUUGACGGGGACCCGCACAAGCGGUGGAGCAUGUGGUUUAAUUCGAUGCAGAGCGAAGAACCUUACCUAGGCUUGACAUCUAGCUGCAGGCCCCUGGAAACAGGGGCGGCCUUCGAGGGUGCUAGACAGGUGUUGCAUGGUUGUCGUCAGCUCGUGGCGUGAGCUGUUGGGUUAAGUCCCGCAACGAGCGCAACCCCUGCCCUGUGUUGAACACUCACAGGGGACUGCCGGCGUACAGUCGGAGGAAGGUGGGGAUGACGUCAAAUCCGCAUGGCCCUUUGAUGCCUAGGGCUACACGCAUGCUACAAUGGCCAGUACAGAGCGACCUGCUAAGCCGCAAGGCGGAGCGAAUCGCACCAAAGCUGGCCCCAGUUCGGAUUGAGGGCUGCAACUCGCCCUCAUGAAGUCGGAAUCGCUAGUAACCGUGGGUCAGCCAUACCACGGUGAAUACGUUCUCGGGUCUUGUACACACCGCCCGU
rnacentral:rRNA from 1 species